rnacentral:rRNA from 1 species
AGAGUUUGAUCCUGGCUCAGGAUGAACGCUAGCGGCAGGCUUAACACAUGCAAGUCGAGGGGCAGCGUGGAGCAGCAAUGCUCUGACGGCGACCGGCGGAAGGGUGCGUAACACGUGAGCGACUUGCCCGUCACAGGGGGAUAACCGGCGGAAACGGCGACUAAUACCCCAUAUGAUGCGAUGCUGCAUGGCAUUGCAUUGAAAGAUUCAUCGGUGGCGGAUAGGCUCGCGGGACAUUAGCUAGACGGCGGGGCAACGGCCCACCGUGGCGACGAUGUCUAGGGGUUCUGAGAGGAAGAUCCCCCACACUGGAACUGAGACACGGUCCAGACUCCUACGGGAGGCAGCAGUGAGGAAUAUUGGUCAAUGGGCGGAAGCCUGAACCAGCCAUGCCGCGUGAAGGAAUAAGGCCCUAUGGGUCGUAAACUUCUUUAGACGCAGAGCAAUAAGGUCCACGAGUGGAUCGAUGAGAGUAUGCGUAGAAUAAGCAUCGGCUAACUCCGUGCCAGCAGCCGCGGUAAUACGGGGGAUGCGAGCGUUAUCCGGAUUCAUUGGGUUUAAAGGGUGCGUAGGCGGCCGAGUAAGUCAGCGGUGAAAGACCGGGGCUCAACCCUGGAAGUGCCGUUGAUACUGUUUGGCUGGAAUGAUCCCGCCGCGGGAGGAAUGAGUGGUGUAGCGGUGAAAUGCAUAGAUAUCACUCAGAACACCGAUUGCGAAGGCAUCUCGCGAGGGGUCAAUUGACGCUGAGGCACGAAAGCGUGGGGAUCGAACAGGAUUAGAUACCCUGGUAGUCCACGCAGUAAACGAUGAUGGCUAACUGUCGGGCCUUAGGGUUCGGCGGCCAAGCGAAAGCGAUAAGCCAUCCACCUGGGGAGUACGACCGCAAGGUUGAAACUCAAAGGAAUUGACGGGGGCCCGCACAAGCGGAGGAACAUGUGGUUUAA